rnacentral:sRNA from 1 species
UCUCGGAACUCCACUGAGCUCUCGGAGAUGUUUCCUGUCCUCCCCGGUUCCCACUUGCUGCUCAAUAACCCUGCCCUGGAGUUCAUCAAAUACGUGUGCAAGGUGCUGUCCCUGGACACCAACAUCACAAACCAGGUGAAUAAGCUGAACCGAGACCUGCUUCGCCUGGUGGAUGUCGGCGAGUUCUCUGAGGAGGCCCAGUUCCGAGACCCCUGCCGCUCCUACGUGCUUCCUGAGGUCAUCUGCCGCAGCUGUAACUUCUGCCGCGACCUGGACCUGUGUAAAGACUCUUCCUUCUCAGAGGAUGGGGCGGUCCUGCCUCAGUGGCUCUGCUCCAACUGUCAGGCGCCCUACGACUCCUCUGCCAUCGAGAUGACGCUGGUGGAAGUUCUACAGAAGAAGCUGAUGGCCUUCACCCUGCAGGACCUGUGGAAGGAGGCAGACACUCCCAAGUGUGAAGAGAAGGAAAGGAGGAAGAGGGAGUUGCGCAGCUCGGCCACAGGAAGGUCUUGCCGAGGGGCAUCUGAGCAGAGGCUGGGGGACGCGCCAAG